AGGUGAAGAGGAGAACAAUGUCCAGGCAGGGGCCGGGGAAGCUCGUGCCAAGGCACUGAGGGGAAGUGCUGCAAUGAACCUCAGAGGCUCUUGCUGACUCAUCUGGGGUACCAAGGACAGAUAAAGGACAUGGAGUCCAGGCCCAGGAGGGGACACCAGGCCAGCAGUUUCACUGAUGCUCCUGUCAUGACGAUGACUGCCUCCCUCCUCCCCUUGGUCCCUGACUCAGUGUCUGCAGUGACCAGGCACCAGGCAGGGAGCAAGGAACCAAGGCUUUCACCUGCUCCCACCAACUCCUAUGGUGCUCCCUUUCCAAGGCUAGGUCUCCUCUCCACCCGGUUCUUUAUCACAUACCAUGAGAAGCUGUCACCUUGGCAACUGUCACCUUCUGGUGAGAUUUACAAUUGCACUGCUACAACUGCUUGUGGCAUGGUAAAGUUGCACCAGGACCUCUGCUGUCCAUGAGAUCAAAGUUCCAGGCCAAGAGACAGGUCUCACUAUGUUGCCCAGGCUGGUCUCAAAUUCCUGGAUUCAAACAAUGUUCUUGCCUUGGCUUCUCAAAGUACCAGGAUUAUAGGCAUGAGCCACUGUGCCAGGCCCAAACCUAGCUUCUGAGUGGAAAAAUUUCUGCUGCCCCACCAGCUUCAGGAAGUGGGAGUCAACUCUAGUCACUGUGGUGAUGCAGAGAUAAUACGGCUGAUAAACCCCUUAUUUUUCUC
rnacentral:lncRNA from 1 species